ACCAGACUCCUACGGGAGGCAGCAGUCGGGAAUAUUGCGCAAUGGAGGAAACUCUGACGCAGUGACGCCGCGUGCAGGAAGAAGGUUUUCGGAUUGUAAACUUCUUUAGACAGGGAAGAAAAAAGACAGUACCUGUAGAAUAAGCUCCGGCUAAAUACGUGCCAGCAGCCGCGGUAAUACGUAUGGAGCAAGCGUUAUCCGGAUUUACUGGGUGUAAAGGGAGCGCAGGCGGCCUUGCAAGUCUGAUGUGAAAGGCCGGGGCCCAACCCCGGGACUGCAUUGGAAACUGCGAGGCUGGAGUGUCGGAGAGGCAGGCGGAAUGCCUAGUGUAGCGGUGAAAUGCGUAGAUAUUAGGAGGAACACCAGUGGCGAAGGCGGCCUGCUGGACGAUGACUGACGCUGAGGCUCGAAAGCGUGGGGAGCAAACAGGAUUAGAUACCCGAGUA
rnacentral:rRNA from 1 species